rnacentral:rRNA from 1 species
UACGUAGGGGGCGAGCGUUGCCCGGAUUCACUGGGCGUAAAGCGGGUGUAGGCGGUUCUUUAAGUCGGAUGUGAAAUCCCUCGGCUUAACCGGGGAACUGCAUCUGAUACUGGAUGGCUUGAGUUUGGGAGAGGGAUGCGGAAUUCCAGGUGUAGCGGUGAAAUGCGUAGAUAUCUGGAGGAACACCGGUGGCGAAGGCGGCAUCCUGGACCAACACUGACGCUGAGGAGCGAAAGCCAGGGGAGCAAACGGG